UCGACGCAAUUAUUCACUGAACACUAAAAUCGAGAAAAAUCGAGAAAAAUUGAGAAAAAUCGAGAAAAAUCGAGAAAAAUCGAGAAAAAUCGAAAAAACUCGUUUAGGCGAUAAAAGCCAUAGAACGAUUAUUCUCGAAACGAGAAUCGCUUCUCGAAAGUCGAACUAUCGAUUCGAUCAAUUUAUCGUUCGUGCAAUGGUGCAAGCGUGCAAUUCUGACAAAAAGAGUGCUUUUUAUUGGCAGCGCUGCUCACAGGCAGCACGCGUACGGAAUCUAUUCGCAUUGCCUUUACAACCGCCGUAAACAAAUUGGUUACACGUCUGACGCCCGGCGUCAUAAUACCAGCGUAACACAGAGCCCGGACAAGGGCCGGGAUCUUUCUCCAAGCGGCAUACGUCUGUCAGUUUUACUGUAAAUAGCAGAAAAACGAGCGUGAUACGUGCGGAUGUCGAAUGAAAGAAAUUGAAAUGGAUGAACAUACCUCGUCUCCUUCCUGGUUGUAAGCAUUGUUGGUGACAAGCGAUUUCCGUUGGGAAGUUAUUAUCAUUUCCUUUGCAUCCACCGUACAGGAAUUGCUCGCAACCUUGUGAUUCUGCAUUGAAGUACCACCUGGUAAAAUUGCCCUCGCAGGGACCUGAUUCUUUCGUUUGGUCGCAAGGAUCUAAUGAAAUAUAAUAAAAAAUGAAGAUUAAUAUUGGUAUCUCAUUAUACUUUACUAUCACAACAAAAUUGAUCAUUGCAUUCAUACAAAAUCACAAAUCACAAAAUCACAAACUUCAUAUGAA